GUGGGGAAUAUUGCGCAAUGGGGGAAACCCUGACGCAGCGACGCCGUGUGAGGGAAGAAGGCUUUCGGGUCGUAAACCUCUGUCAGAAAGGAAGAACCUCCCAUAUCCGAAUAGGGUGUGGGACUGACGGUACUUUCAAAGGAAGCACCGGCUAACUCCGUGCCAGCAGCCGCGGUAAUACGGAGGGUGCUAGCGUUAAUCGGAAUCACUGGGCGUAAAGCGCGCGUCGGCCGCUUCUUAAGUCGGACGUGAAAGCCCUCGGCUCAACCGGGGAACUGCGUUCGAUACUGGGAGGCUUGAGUCCUGGAGAGGGUGGCGGAAUUCCGGGUGUAGGAGUGAAAUCCGUAGAUAUCCGGAGGAACACCGGUGGCGAAGGCGGCCACCUGGACAGGUACUGACGCUGAGGCGCGAAAGCGUGGGGAGCAAACAGGAUUAGAAACCCGAGUAGUCC
rnacentral:rRNA from 1 species